GUCCCCUCCCAUUGUGCGCAAAAUUGAAAUAAUUAAAUCAAAUCAAAUUUAUAAAAUAUAAUCUUUUUGAUAUAGAUUAAAGAAUCUUAAAAUAAGAAAACAUGUUUGCAACUUGUUGUUCCUUCUUCCCUUUCUAGCUUUCAUAAUAAUUUUUCUCUUGCCUCCUUCUAGUCCUCCCUUUUUUGAAAGCUACGUUCUCUCUCUCCCUCUCUUCCUUGUACCUCUCAUUUGAG
rnacentral:misc_RNA from 1 species